GAUGAAGAACGUAGUGAAAUGCGAUAAGUAAUGUGAAUUGCAGAAUUCAGCGAAUCAUCGAAUCUUUGAACGCACAUUGCGCCCGCCAGUAUUCUGGCGGGCAUGCCUGUUCGAGCGUCAUUACAACCCUCAGGCCCCCGGGCCUGGCGUUGGGGAUCGGCGGAAGCCCCCUGCGGGCACAACGCCGUCCCCCAAAUACAGUGGCGGUCCCGCCGCAGCUUCCAUUGCGUAGUAGCUAACACCUCGCAACUGGAGAGCGGCGCGGCCACGCCGUAAAACACCCAACUUCUGAAUGUUGACCUCGAAUCAGGUAGGAAUACCCGCUGAACUUAAGCAUAUCAAUAAGCGGAGGA
rnacentral:misc_RNA from 1 species